AACGAACGCUGGCGGCAGGCUUAACACAUGCAAGUCGAACGCCCCGCAAGGGGAGUGGCAGACGGGGUGAGUAACGCGUGGGAAUGUGCCCCAAGGUACGGAACAACAGCGGGAAACUGCUGCUAAUACCGUAUGUGACCGAGAGGUGAAAGAUUUAUCGCCUUGGGAUCAGCCCGCGUUAGAUUAGGUAGUUGGCGGGGUAAUGGCCCACCAAGCCUACGAUCUAUAGCUGGUCUGAGAGGAUGAUCAGCCACACUGGGACUGAGACACGGCCCAGACUCCUACGGGAGGCAGCAGUGGGGAAUCUUGGACAAUGGGCGGCAAGCCUGAUCCAGCCAUGCCGCGUGAAUGAUGAAGGCCUUAGGGUGUAAGUU
rnacentral:rRNA from 1 species